rnacentral:rRNA from 1 species
CCCUUAGAUGUUCUGGGCCGCACGCGCGCUACACUGUUCGACGCAGCGAGUCUUAACCUUGACCGAAAGGUUUGGGUAAUCUUCAGCAAAGUCGAACGUGAUGGGGAUCGAUCAUUGCAAUGAUUGAUCGUGAACGAGGAAUUCCUAGUAAGUGCAAGUCAUCAGCUUGCGCUGAUUACGUCCCUGCCCUUUGUACACACCGCCCGUCGCUACUACCGAUUGAAUGGUUUAGUGAGAUCUCUGGAUUGACGCUGGCUAGGGGGCGACCCUUGGCCAGGCUGUCGAGAAACUGCUCAAACUUGAUCAUUUAGAGGAAGUAAAAGUCGUAACA